CAACUGCCCAACUGCCUCAGAACUCAGAACGUUCCAGACCAACUGCCCACCUGACAGUGGUAUAAAUAGCUUCACCCAACUGACAAAUCUAGAUGAACAAGUUGACUGAGGGCUAGGAAGGUGGCCUGCAGGGCUGGGGUGUAGAUGGUUUAGUGAAAGUCUUGUAGGCUCUGGGUUGACUCCUAAACAUCUGAAAAGGAGGAUGAGCAGCUGGACCAAGGCCUGGCUGUGGCUGGGUAGUACUGUACUUGCUCUUAGAUGGCACCUUCCUGCUCAGACCCUUCCUCCGCAGACUCCAGUCCUCUGUGCAUACAUCAGCCACUCCGUCUCCGAAUCCUGCUUCACUGUUGCAGAAUGGAGGCUGCAGGGCAGCAGUUAGGGCAAGAGGUCUGUGGCUCAUGCCCGUUUUGGUGCUGCAGAACCUCUGCUGGGCACAAGCAGGUGGUUUCCUUGGCCCCAGUUCCCUUUUCAGUGUGUCUUGUGUUGGAAAGUUUUGCCCUGCUUUUUCUUGGACCCUUGAGUCUCCAUGGGGAAAAUACAUAGCACGUGGGGCCAUGUUUCCAUUUUGUUGCUCGAAUCUGUGGGAAAGAAAGAAUCCUCCUUCUGUGUUUGGGCUGAAACCAACCACCCUGGACUGGCGGCUCAUCACACCCGACAGUGAUAACUCUUCUGGGAACAGCCACCUGAUCAGAGUGCAGCAAUACUCCAUCAGCCAGACGGCCAGACUCGGAAUUGCGACUCACGGAGGCAGCUAUAUUGACUCCCUGCAGGUCCCCGUGGAACACUCAGUUCUUGCCAGUGCAGAACCCUGGAACCCAGGAUUACCGGCCAGUGCAAGACUUGAGAGAGCCAGGACCCCCAGGAGUGUAGGAGUCGGACAAGAGAUCUGCUUGGGACCCUGCAGCAAUUGGGCACCGAGCUUGGGCAAAGAUGGCCAAGAUGCAAUGUACUUAUAUAUUUUCCCAACAUAAAUUUGAUUAGUGUGUAUUGCAAACAAUUACAGAUAGUAACCCUAAAAAUAAAUGGUGACACUGACCAC
ensembl:lncRNA